AGGAUAAACGCUGGCGGCGUGCCUAACACAUGCAAGUCGAACGCUCUGGGUAACCAGAGAGUGGCGGACGGGUGAGUAACACGUGGGCAAUCUACCCUUAGGUGAGGAAUACCGGCGAGAAAUCGCCGACAAUACCGCAUGCGCUCUGCACAGAGCAAAGUCUGCAAAGACGCCUGAGGAUGAGCCUGCGCUCGAUUAGUUAGUUGGUGGGGUAAAAAGCCUACCAAGACGUCGAUCGAUAGCUGGUCUGAGAGGACGAUCAGCCACACUGGGAUUGAGAACGGCCCAGACUCCUACGGGGGGCAGCAGUGAGGAAUUUUCGUCAAUGGGGGCAACCCUGAACGAGCAACGCCGCGUGUAGGAAGAAGGUUUUCGGAUCGUAAACUACUUUUCUCUGGGACGAGAACGGACGGUACCAGAGGAAUCAGCCUCGGCUAACUACGCGCCAGCAGCCGC
rnacentral:rRNA from 1 species